rnacentral:misc_RNA from 1 species
GAUGAAGAACGCAGUGAAAUGCGAUAAGUAAUGUGAAUUGCAGAAUCCAGUGAAUCAUCGAAUCUUUGAACGCACAUUGCGCCCGCCAGCAUUCUGGCGGGCAUGCCUGUUCGAGCGUCAUUUCAACCCUCGACCUCCCCUUGGGGAGGUCGGCGUUGGGGACCGGCAGCACACCGCCGGCCCUGAAAUGGAGUGGCGGCCCGUCCGCGGCGACCUCUGCGUAGUAAUACAGCUCGCACCGGAACCCCGACGCGGCCACGCCGUAAAACACCCAACUUCUGAACGUUGACCUCGAAUCAGGUAGGACUACCCGCUGAACUUAAGCAUAUCAAUAAGCGGAGGA